UACAGAGGUCCCGAGCGUUGUUCGGAAUCACUGGGCGUAAAGGGCGCGUAGGCGGCUUUUCAAGCGUGCGGUGAAAGCUCGGGGCUUAACUCCGAGUCUGCCGUGCGAACUGGGAGGCUUGAGUCUGGUAGAGGUCGAUGGAAUUCCGGGUGUAGCGGUGGAAUGCGUAGAGAUCCGGAAGAACACCGGGUGGCGAAGGCGGUCGACUGGGCCAGUACUGACGCUGGAGGCGACGAAAGCGUGGGGAGCAAACAGG
rnacentral:rRNA from 1 species